GACAGAGGGUGCAAACGUUGUUCGGAAUCACUGGGCUUAAAGGGCGCGUAGGCGGGCGGCCGCGUCCGGGGUGAAAUCCCACGGCUCAACCGUGGAACGGCCUCGGAUACGGGCGGCCUCGAGGGGGGUAGGGGCAUCUGGAACUGUGAGUGGAGCGGUGAAAUGCGUUGAUAUUCACAGGAACUCCGGUGGCGAAGGCGAGGUGCUGGACCCCAUCUGACGCUGAGGCGCGAAAGCCAGGGGAGCGAACGGG
rnacentral:rRNA from 1 species